UACGUAGGGUGCGAGCGUUAAUCGGAAUUACUGGGCGUAAAGCGUGCGCAGGCGGUUUCUUAAGUCAGAUGUGAAAGCCCCGGGCUUAACCUGGGAACUGCGUUUGAAACUGGGAGACUUGAGUGUGGCAGAGGGGUGUGGAAUUCCCGGUGUAGCAGUGAAAUGCGUAGAUAUCGGGAGGAACAUUUGUGGCGAAGGCGACACCCUGGACCAGCACUGACACUGAGGCACGAAAGCGUGGGGAGCAAACAGG
rnacentral:rRNA from 1 species